GGGAGGAAAGGAAAGGAAAAGGAUGAGAGGAGUUAUCAAUAGUGAUGCCAAAAAAGAGAAAGCCUUUGUAGUAGGUAGAACUGCACUUUUUUCCCUCAAAAAGCAAGUGGUAUUAAAUGAGAUAUUUGAAUGUCAUAUAUAAUCUUUUUUGUGUUCUGUUUCAUGUAUGGAAAUGCUCUUUAUAUUGCUAUUUAAUUCAGAAUAAAAACUUCAAAAAAUGAAACUACGCAUUAAUUUGUAAUAAUACAUUAAUCUUUUCUGCAAAAUCAACAGAUGGUCAACUUAAACAGCAACAGAAGACAUCAGGAGUUUUCAAUGCUACUAUAGAAGAAAAAAUGUCCAGUAAAUUUGAAAUUGGCUACAUUCCACAAAACAACCGCUACACAAAACUG